rnacentral:rRNA from 1 species
UACAGGGGGGUGCAAACGUUGCUCGGAAUUAUUGGGCGUAAAGCGCGCGUAGGCGGCCGCUUAAGUCGGAUGUGAAAGCCCCUGGCUCAACUGGGGAAGUGCACCCGAAACUGAGUGGCUUGAGUACUAAAGAGGGUCGCGGAAUUCCCGGUGUAGAGGUGAAAUUCGUAGAUAUCGGGAGGAACACCGGUGGCGAAGGCGGCGACCUGGGUGAGAUACUGACGCUGAGGCGCGAAAGCGUGGGAGCAAACAGG